AUGUAAGUUUUUGCGUGAAUUUUUAUUUAUUUUAAUAGUAAAUAUUUUUUUUAUAAUCUCAAUAAUUAAUUUUAUUAAUCAAAGAAAUUUGUAGAUAGUAAUUUCAUAUAGUAUUGGCUAAAUUUGUGCCAGCAGCCGCGGUUACACAAAUAACACAAAUAAAAUUAUCUCAGUGUAAGUUAAAUUUUAUUUGAAUAUAAAAUAAGUUUAAAUUUAUUAGGUGAAAUUUUAAAUUUAUGUAUUUUUAUCUUAUUUUAGUUGAAGCUUGUAAAUUUUAUUAAUAAACUAGGAUUAGAUACCCUAUUAUUUAAAAUGUAAAUUAAAACACUUAGGUAGUAUUAGGUAUGAUCUUGAAACUUAAAAAAUUUGGCGGUAUUUUAGUCUAUUCAGAGGAACCUGUUCUGUAAUUGAUAGUCCACGAUGUACCUCACUUGAGUUUGUUAUCAGUUUAUAUACCGUCGUUAUUAGAAUAUUUUAUUAGAAUAAUAAUUUUCUAUAAUUUUAAUUAAAAUUUAUAUCAGAUCAAGGUGUAGCUUAUAUUUAAGUAGAAAUGGGUUACAAUAAAUUUAUUUAAGCGAAUUUAAACAUGAAAUAUAUUUAAUGAAGAUGGAUUUGAUAGUAAAAUUUUAAAGAUUAAAAAUUUGAUUUUAGCUCUAAAAUAUGCACACAUCGCCCGUCGCUCUUGCUAUUAAGGUAAGAUAAGUCGUAACAUAGUAGAUGUA
rnacentral:rRNA from 1 species